ensembl:lncRNA
GGCAGGUCGGUAGCUGGGGAUGGGGGAGGGUAUGUUUCCUGUGUGCAGCGCCAGGACCUGGGGCUUGUUGACACGGUGGGAGUGCUGCGGCUGCUGGGCCCCAGGGUGAGGCAGGCCACGUGACUCGCCCGCUCUGGCACCACAGUCCCGGCGGCCUGGCCCACCCUGGCCGUGGAGGCUGCCACCUGGUGCCAGGCGGCCGGGGUUGCAGUGGGACCGAGUGUGGGCCUCGGUGGUGUGUGCCUGUGGGGGCUCACAAAACCCGUAGACGAGUCAGCGGGCCUGGGGUUCUGGCUCCAUUGGUAAAAACGUGCUCCCUCGCCUUACCUCUGUGGGCCUCAGUUUCAUUAUCUAUAAAAACAAGAGGGAUUGAACGAGAAUCUUUGCGGAGGUUCCCGUCAGCUCUGAUAUGGGGGCUCCCUGGAUGUUUGUGGAGGUGAGACCCUCCUGGACCGGAGACCGAACCCACGUCCCCCCGCCACAUUGGUCGGCAGACUCUUAACCCCUGGACCACCAGGGAAGCCCCAUGGAGGUAUUUCUUAGCCAGAAACUCAGGACCUGCGUUACGAGGAGAGGGGAGGGACCCCAGAGACUUGUCUGCUUGCAGCGGUAACCGUGUUUCCUGAAGGGACACUGUUGGAGUGAAUUAGGGCUGGCCGGUGGAGGCACUUUUCGAAAUGCCCCAGAAGUAAAUGGAAAAAGUAAAGAGCAUGAAAGUGUCUGCUGAGGACCCUCCGGGUGACUGAGGACAGGGACUCCAGCUCCUGCUAGGAGCUCGUCUAGAGACGGGCCGUAUGGGAACUGCUGGGGGCUGGCAGGGCUGCAGGGGGGUGACCUGACACGCCAUGCUCCCGGAGAGAUUUGGCCUUCCCCUUUUGGCCCUAAAUCCUGGAGAGGAAAUAGGUCUGCAGGGUCCUUGUGUCCUCUGCCUUCCCUGUAACUUCUCAGGGUCUGUGCCCCUGUUGCUGUCAUAAAGUUUCCCUUUAUAUUUAGCCUUCUUUUCUCAUGUGAUUGUUUAAGCCCUUCCAUUAAAAAAAAAAAAAAAAAAAGACAGGAGCAAAGAAAACAGAAAUAUCUCAGAGCCACCAGUUCCAUUUUGGCUUUUUAGUCUUGAGCCCCUCCUUAAAAGACAGCAAAAAUGAAAUACACGUACGGCAAAGCGCAGGGUCCCAAGCCCUUCUGGACUUGUGUGCAGAGCCGGGCUGUGGCCUGGCGUGGCGGGGCCCCGGCCUCCCUGCUCCACAGUGGCCUCAGUCCCUGACGUCCACUGUGUCUCCCGGGGUGCGUGGGCAGGAGCCCC